rnacentral:rRNA from 1 species
UACGUAGGGCGCAAGCGUUAUCCGGAAUUAUUGGGCGUAAAGAGCUCGUAGGCGGUUUGUCGCGUCUGCCGUGAAAGUCCGGGGCUCAACUCCGGAUCUGCGGUGGGUACGGGCAGACUAGAGUGCGGUAGGGGAGACUGGAAUUCCCGGUGUAGCGGUGAAAUGCGCAGAUAUCAGGAGGAACACCGGUGGCGAAGGCGGAUCUCUGGGCCGAUACUGACGCUGAGGAGCGAAAGCGUGGGGAGCGAACAGG